GACUAGAAUCAACGGCAUCACGAGGGUCUUACCGUCUCCUUUCUCUAAUCAGUGAAACUGAUCUCUCCGUGAAGAAGCGGGGAUAAAAAUAUAAGACGAGAAGACCCCAUGGAGCUUCAAGCUCAACAAGUACUCUUUUUCACUAACCUUACAGACUCUAGAAUCUACUUGUUAGCUUUGGGUUGGGGUGACCGCGGAGAAAAACUUAACCUCCAUAAUGAAAAGAAUAAAAUCCUAAUCUAUGAGCCCACACCUCUAAGAAUCAACAAAUUGGCAUAAAAUGACCCGAUACUUCGAUCAAUGAACCAAGUUACCCUGGGAUAACAGCGCCAUCCACUUCAAGAGCCCAUAUCGACAAGUGGGUUUACGACCUCGAUGUUGGAUCAGGGUGUCCCAGUGGUGCAGCCGCUACUAAAGGUUCGUUUGUUCAACGAUUAAAACCCUACG
rnacentral:rRNA from 1 species